UUGUGUAUAUGCUGUAUAAUAAGCUUAUAAUAGCAUGAUAUAGUACCAUAGGUGAAUGCAAAUGAGAUUAAAUAUAUUAUAAAAACGAUAAAUAAAUGAGUAAAUGCUCUAAUAUGCUUUAGCGCUUUAAUAUUGAGGAAGUUGCUAUUUGUGACUAUACUUCCGCGACGUCACGAUGAAAAUGCUAAUGCGUCUAAAGUUAAUUGCAGUUUUAGAGCAAAAUUGUACUUCAUGAAUGCAAUCUGGCUCCUAUGCAGUUUUAAACUGACGAUUCAGGCUUCAAAGAAGAAGAUAUAUUCAUGUUGCGAGCUACCGUAAUUUGGAUGUUUGUCUGCGUGGCUAAUCUAGAUUUCAUCACAAAAAACGGAAUCAAGUAUGAACUGUUCAAUGAACAAUUCAAACAUCUUUGUUGAAACUUUCGCGGAUGCACUCAAAGGGGCAUUUUACGUGGACAUAGUUGUUACAAUUAUUUUGCUGUACAUAACGUUCUGUCAAAUCUACGUUCUUGUUUCGAAGAGAUUGUUCAAACUUCGACUUGAUAAGUGUACUGAUCUUUUGUUGGCGUCGAAUCUUCGGUCUGUAAUGAAUUUGACACUUGUUUUCACCGGUAUUCUUGCUUUAGCUAAGAUGGUGUUGCAGUUAAUAUUUUAUCUAAAUUUGAAAAGUACGAUCUUCGUAUCUGAAGUGCUUUUAGCACAGUGGGCGUAUACGUCGGAGUAUCUCAUACUCUGGUUCCGCCAGGCAAUGUUUCACAGCAAACCAUCACUGAAACACCUCUCGUCGAAAGCGUUGCAUAAUUCCAGUCGGUUCCAAGGAUUUUACAUGUUAUUCAUCAAUUUGUUCGGGAAAAUUGUGAUUGGAUAGGAAGGCAUUCGGAAUAAUAUACUUAGAUUCGCUUUCUUUCCAAAGUGGAUGACAAUUUGUUUCUUUCUUUAUCAAACUGAAACCCAAAUUUCCACUCUUGCAUUGUUUAUAAUUCCGUUAUUUCGCCACAGAAAAA